CACGGAGAUGCUGGAAAAGCUCAAUAACUUGGACACCAUGAGGUUCGUCCUGGACGAAUUCAAGCUGACGACGGUGUUAGAUGGCCUUCGUCGAAGGAAACAUGAUCUCGAGGACAAGCUCGGCAGGAUCAAAGCCUGGACGAACGCAUGGACCAUAGGCCAGUGGAUAGCCAAGUUCGGAGUCACUGUGCUCUCUGUGCUGAUCCCGGUAGCAGGUGUGCGGCCAGCUGCCACCGCCGCUAACAACGGAGCCGGUGGGGUGAUAGCACUUCUCCAGCCCUUGGUUGACUCUUAUUUGGCUGGUCAACAGAGCUCAUGCGAGGAUGAGAUAGGCCUCACUGAAAAGAUCUUGAACGAAGCUUGCUUCAUAUUUCAUAGGGUCAAGAGCGCCCGAGUUCUUGUGAAGGAGUUGCAGGAUGAGAUGGGGUUGUUGGCUAAGUGUGGCGAGUUCAUCGCUGUGGCUGGGGAGGAUGAAGAUGGGGCUGUGAGCAGAGAGAUGGACAAGAUCAAAUGUAAGGCCGGAGAAUUGGUGGAUAAGAUUGAGAAUUUGGAGAAGGAGGUGGAUUGCAGCUGCGUGGAUCUCCGCGGGGCUGCGUUGACUCUACUUCAGACAAUGACUGAACAGGUUGGAAAUUCUCAGCAAGUGUCCAUUGAGAUCCCCUCUUAGUAAAUGUGCCCAUUGAGAGCUUCGCUUAUUAAUUAAAGUUGAUGCAGCAUGGGCGCUUGACAAGGCAAAAAUGAUGCUCUUUGAUGAAAAAAGUGGCAAAAAUGAUCCUGCACAGAGACAAGAGGAACAAGAAGAGCUUGAGACUUGGCAAGAAGCUACUGACAAAGGUUGUGAGCAGUUCAUGUCAAAUGAAAGUCAACUUUUGAAUAUCUUGUUAAAGCAACAAUUUUUUAUUAGAUGUUUGUAAGCAAUGUCUGGAAGCAAUUUCUUUUUGAAUGUUUGUAAACAUUGCUUGAGAACAAGGCUUGGUUUCAUUUCAUAUGUUCUUG